AACAACACCAUAUGGUGCUGUGAAAAGCGCGGUUCCCGUUUGAGUUGGUCGACAGAAACUGUUCGAGAAGAAGAAGGCGACAUGCCAUUGGCUGUUUUGACGUGACGCUUAACAAUUUCAAAAACCAUCGCGCGGCGGUUCCAGUUUCAAUUCAAUUCAAUUCAAUUUUAUUUAUAUAGCGUCAAUUACAGUCAACUCGUCUCAAGAUGCUUUACAGAACCCAAAUGCCUGACCCCCAGAGCAAGCCCAAAGGCGACAGUGGCAAGGAAAAACACCCUUUUAACAGGGAAGAAACCUCGAGCAGAACCCGGCUCUAUAUAGGGGGGACCCAUCUACCUGCUGGCCGGGCGGGUUGAGAAGGACAGAAGAGGGCAAGGAGACAGCAGCUAAUGUCGAGGCUGGAGGAAUGAGAAAUGUAGAAGGCAAGUAUCAAACUGAAGCUGAGCCGCAUUAGCUUUAUUUAUCACCAUGCCUCUGAGUUUACGCAGUCGGUAAAAGGCACUGAAUCCGCUGAUAUGUCGUCAAUUGAAAUGUUAGCUAACUAUGAUGACAAAAGCAUGGCCGGCGGUGUCGGCAUCUGUUAGCUAGCUGCAUUUUAGCAUUCAGCCAGACCAGCUACUAACGUUAGCUUACCACUUAGCAGUGAGUCAUUACGUUUGCUUUUGUGAACUGACUCAGGCGGAGAGAAAGACGAACAUUUGUUUAGAGUUGCAACAAUGAACAAUAAUCAAUUAUUAACCCUCUUAUACAUUUUCACUAGUUUUUUGUCCACAAUUUUCACUGUAUGACUUGAAAUGGCAUGAUUUUUGCCUCGAUUAGGAAGCUUAAUUUUAUGUAACUUGUCAAAAUUUGGUUUUGAAAUUUUUCUCACGUUUGCUCCUCAAGUACUUCAAUGAAGAAGAAGAACAGAUGUUCUACAAAGUGGAUCAAACAACCCUGCCCUCUGAAGUGGACUGUGCUGGACUUCCAAGUACACCAUGUAUUGUUGUGUGUGGAAACUCGACUUUGGCAGCGGAGAAUUUCAUGCUGUCUGUUGACCAGACCAUUGUGAUGGCCACAUCAGAAUCUUCAGUGAUGCUCUUUUGCUGAUGUUUGGUUCGUACUACUGUAUGAACAUAUCUUACCCAGCAGCCCAAGCAUCAACUUUGGAGUUCUUACAGAGGUGCCUCUUCAAGAUAAAUCCAGAUAAGGGAUCAAAAGUGGAGCGGAACGCCACCAAAAAACAACUUGCAGUCAGUCCAAAGGUUCUCACACUGAUCACCAAAAUUGCAGACUGAGUGGAGGGAAUAAGAAGUGCUCUCUAGUUAUGGAUACUUUGUCCAAGUUACAGACUGUUGUGGAUUAAUAUCCAGUGAGGUUUCAUGUAAGCUAUUUAUGUAGCUUUGUCAUCAAUGUUUUGGAUCUAUGGUUACUUGACCAGGUUAUGGAUGACUUAAAUAGAAUAUGUAUUCAUUUCCAGAGAGGUUUACUGUAGGUUUGUAAUCCAUGUUGUGGAUGUACAGUGACUUGACCAAGUUAUGGAUGCCUUGGAUAGAGUAUGGAUUCAUUUCCAGUGAGGUUUGACAAAGUUUCUCAUCAAUGUUUUGGAUGUGUGGUUACUUGACCAAGUUAGGAAUGCCUUGGAUAGAAAUAAUACUGGGAAUUGGUAACUCAGCUUUUUUUUUUAAUGCUUUUUUCUUUCAUUUCCAAUUCAGUUUAAUUUUAUUUUUGUUUGUUUCAGAGCCAGUCAUUUUAAUUUAAUCAAUUUUUGAAUAUUGCUGUAAUAAUGGUUACCUGUUACAGUUGAAUAAAAAUACUGAGAAUGGGAAACUGUA